ACGUCAAAUCAUCAUGCCCCUUACGUCUAGGGCUACAGGCGUGCUACAAUGGCUGGUACAAAAAGACGCAAUACCGUGAGGUGGAGCAAAUCUCUAAAACCAGUCCCAGUUCGGAUUGGAGUCUGCAACUCGACUCCAUGAAGUUGGAAUCGCUAGUAAUCCUGAAUCAGAAUGUCAGGGUGAAUACGUUCCCGGGUGUU
rnacentral:rRNA from 1 species